rnacentral:rRNA from 1 species
UACGUAGGGUGCGAGCGUUGUCCGGAAUUAUUGGGCGUAAAGAGCUCGUAGGCGGUCUGUCGCGUCGGCCGUGAAAACCUAGGGCUCAACUCUGGGCUUGCAGCCGAUACGGGCAAACUAGAAUUCGGUAGGGGAGACUGGAAUUCCUGGUGUAGCGGUGAAAUGCGCAGAUAUCAGGAGGAACACCGGUGGCGAAGGCGGGUCUCUGGGAAUAUCCUGACGCUGAGGAGCGAAAGUGUGGGGAGCGAACAGG